UCCCCGGUAGCUCAGUCGGUAGAGCGGUCGGCUGUUAACCGAUUGGUCGCUGGUUCGAGUCCGGCCCGGGGAG
rnacentral:tRNA from 2 species